AGCUAAUAGAUACCCAGGUAGUCCACGCCCUAAACGAUGUCUACUAGCUGUUGGUGGAGUAAAAAAUCCAUGAGUAAACGCAGCUAACGCGUGAAGUAGACCGCCUGGGGAGUACGGUCGCAAGAUUAAAAACUCAAAGGAAUUGACGGGACGGCCCGCACAAGCGGUGGAUUAUGUGGUAAUUAAUUCGAUGCAACGACGUAAAAACCCUUACCGUGGUCCUUGACAUGCCACUAACGAAGCAGAGAUGCAUUAGGUCGCCCGGUAAAGGGAAAGUGGACACAGGUGCUGCAUGGCUGUCGUCAGCUCGUGUCGUGAGAUGUUUGGGUUAAGUCCCGCAACGAGCGCCAACCCCUGCCAUUAAUUGCCAUCAUUUAGUU
rnacentral:rRNA from 1 species